GAUGAACGCUGGCGGCGUGCUUAACACAUGCAAGUCGAACGAAGUAUAUUGGAAUGAGUUCUUCGGAACAAAUGAAUUUAUACUUAGUGGCGGACGGAUGAGUAACGCGUGGAUAACCUGCCUUACACUGGGGGACAACAGUUAGAAAUGACUGCUAAUACCGCAUAAGCGCACAGUACCGCAUGGUACGGUGUGAAAAACUCCGGUGGUGUAAGAUGGAUCCGCGUCUGAUUAGCUAGUUGGUAGGGUAACGGCCUACCAAGGCGACGAUCAGUAGCCGGCCUGAGAGGGUGAACGGCCACAUUGGGACUGAGACACGGCCCAGACUCCUACGGGAGGCAGCAGUGGGGAAUAUUGCACAAUGGGCGAAAGCCUGAUGCAGCGACGCCGCGUGAGCGAAGAAGUAUUUCGGUAUGUAAAGCUCUAUCAGCAAGGAAGAUAAUGACGGUACUUGACUAAGAAGCCCCGGCUAACUACGUGCCAGCCGCCGCUGUAAGAC
rnacentral:rRNA from 1 species